rnacentral:rRNA from 1 species
GUGCCAGCAGCCGCGGUAAUACGGAGGGUGCAAGCGUUGUUCGGAAUCACUGGGCGUAAAGGGCACGUAGGGCGGCCUGUCAAGUCAGGUGUGAAAUCCCGGGGCUCAACCCUGGACGUGCAUCUGAAACUGGCAGGCUUGAGUAUGGGAGAGGAAAGUGGAAUUCCCGGUGUAGAGGUGAAAUUCGUAGAUAUCAGGAGGAACACCAGUGGCGAAGGCGGCUUCCUGGACCAAUACUGACGCUGAGGCACGAAGGCGUGGGUAGCAAACAGGAUUAGAUACUCUGGUAGUCCACGCAGUAAACGGUGAUCACUAGGUGUAGUGGGUUUUUACCCCCGCUGUGCCGAAGCUAACGCAUUAAGUGAUCCGCCUGGGGAGUACGAUCGCAAGGUUAAAACUCAAAGGAAUUGACGGGGGCCCGCACAAGCGGUGGAGCAUGUGGUUU